AAAAAAAAAAAAAAAACAUAAAUUUCAUUGUUGCUAUAACAUGCAUAGAGUAAUUCUUAAAUGUAGGAAUGCAUGCGUGGUUUGCUGCUGCUGUUGACACCCGCUAUGCUGUAGCUGUACCAAUAAUUGGGGUUCAUGUUUGUCAUAUCCAAAGUUGUAUGCGAUAAGUGAGGAUUUCUUAAAUCUUUGUAUUGGACAAUGGUACGGAAGAGUUGACUAUUUAUGCAAUAUGGUCUUCGGGCUUUCGAUGGGCUAUAGACCAUGACAAGUGGUACGGUCGGGUUGACAGUAUCAAGGCUGUUUUUGAAGAAACACGGAUUGAUCUAGGGAAGGGUGCUAUUGAUAAGGAAGUGGUGGAGCAGAGGAUCCAACGAAUAGACCUAAGAGUAUUGUUGAUGUUAGAUGUGGAAUUGGAGGCAGUUCUAGAUAUCUAGCUAGGAAAUAUGAAGCCCAAUGCCAAGGCAUCACCCUGAGCCCCAUCCAAGCCCAAAUGGCUGAAGGUCUUGCUGCUUCCCAAGGAUUAGCCAACAAGGUUUGUGUGAGCUUUAUUAUGCUUUCCACUUUUUAGCUGGUUUUUGAAAAUGAGCAAGGGAGGUAAUGGAAACCCUUAGUGUACCUAUAUUUCAGUUGAGUCUAUGAGAUUAUGGUAUCUUGCCUACCUCCAUGGAGUAUAUGUUGUCUGCAUCAUUUAAAUUAUUCAUUUUAUGAAAUCUCACUUACCUCUUAGAGUUGCUGUUAUCUGCAUCAUUUAAAUUAUGCUGUUGAAGUUUGGUUGGUGCAUGGGUUUGAAAAUUCCAUUUGGUCCUAGUUAAGAGUAUAGUUUAUCAUCCUUUCACUUCCUUAGAAUAGGAGAAGAAAACUAUUGCAUGGAAUAACCAAUGCUCAACCGAGCCUCAGGGGAGGUUGAUAUUUUCAAGUAUUGCUGUGGGAUAUUUCUGAUUUCCAUGCUACAAUUAUGACUGAAAAUCAACAACCCCCAUAAGAUUUGUCAUAGAAAGCUUUCUUUGAAAGAUAAUAUUUAGUUAUCUGAACUGUUGUUAUAUUGGUGUGGGGGAAAAAAUCACUAUGACAAUUAUGACUAUUCAUUUCAUUGCAGGGACACAUAUAAUCUGUGGUUUAUUUGUUCAAUUAUACUGAUUUUAGUUUCUCACUGUUUUUUCUUAGACACAUCCGAUGGAACUCAUUGAGCAAAUGGUUCCUGUCUCUAUUCUAUUUUAUUUUCUUGACUUUUAGACAAUAAGUGCUAGCCAUGGAUGAAACAUCUAGUUG